UACGAAGGGGGCUAGCGUUGCUCGGAAUGACUGGGCGUAAAGGGCGCGUAGGCGGCUCAUACAGUCAGAUGUGAAAUUCCUGGGCUUAACCUGGGGGCUGCAUUUGAUACGUGUGGGCUUGAGUGGGGAAGAGGGUCGUGGAAUUCCCAGUGUAGAGGUGAAAUUCGUAGAUAUUGGGAAGAACACCGGUGGCGAAGGCGGCGACCUCGUCCUUGACUGACGCUGAGGCGCGAAAGCGUGGGGAGCAAACAGG
rnacentral:rRNA from 1 species